rnacentral:rRNA from 1 species
GACGAACGCUGGCGGCGUGCCUAAUACAUGCAAGUCGAACGCAGUGGGGACGGGUGAGUAACACGUGGGUGAUCUCCCAUAAGAGGGGAUAACACUUGGAAACAGGUGCUAAACCGAUACUGAUGGAUGAACCCGCGGUGCAUUAGCUAGUUGGUGGGGUAACGGCUCACCAAGGCCACGAGGCAUAGCCGACCUGAGAGGGUGAUCGGCCACACUGGGACUGAGACACGGCCCAGACUCCUACGGGAGGCAGCAGUAGGGAAUCUUGGGCAAUGGACGAAAGCCUGACCUAGCCACGCCGCGUGAAUGAAGAAGGUUUUCGGAUCGUAAAACUCUGUUGUUAGAGAAGCGGUAUCUAACCAAGAAGCCCCGGCUAACUACGUGCCAGCAGCCGCGGUAAUAC